AACGCACAUUGCGCCCAUUAGUAUUCUAGUGGGCAUGCCUGUUCGAGCGUCAUUUCAACCCUUAAGCCUAGCUUAGUAUUGGGAGCCUACUGUAUUGUAGCUCCCCAAAUCCAACGGCGGAUCUGUGGUAUCCUCUGAGCGUAGUAAUUUUUAUCUCGCUUUUGUUAGGUGCUGCAGCUCUCAGCCGCUAAACCCCCCAAUUUUUAAUGGUUGACCUCGGAUCAGGUAGGAAUACCCGCUGAACUUAA
rnacentral:misc_RNA from 1 species